UGGCCCCGUAGCUCAGGGGAUAGAGCAGUGGUUUCCUAAACCAUGUGUCGUAGGUUCGAAUCCUAUCGGGGCCGCAGU
rnacentral:tRNA from 1 species